AAAGGGGCAACGGCACUGCCCGCGGGCCCGCCCCUUUCCACCCGCGGCAGAGUCAUAUGGGGGAGAAGAAUGGAUGAAUGUGUCCCUGCCUCAGUGGUCGCUACGUGUUCUCCGAGCAUGUCCGGCCUAGUGAUAUGAGAGGAUGCUGACGUGUCGGCGGGAGAACGGCAUUUUGCCUGCAGGAGCGUGGCCCUCCGCUUAUGCCCCACAGUAGAGAAGGCAUGAAACCCAGUGAUCCAGCUGGAACUAUAGAUAUACACAAAAGAAUGGCAGGUACAAGAUCCUCAGGGUUAAAUGUGAGACAUGGUUCUUUUCUUGAUCUCAUCACUAAAGAUACCACCUCUUGCCUUAUUUA